AGUCUUUGGAAGACAUUUAUACACAAGCAAAUUCAAUCAGAAUUUCAUGGAUGAAACAUCCAAAAAUCUCAUCUCCAAAGCAAUAGACUUAAUCACACAUCUGAUUUUUGAAGUGAAAUUAGAUGCAUUUGUUCAGCUGUGGCUGUGGAUGGACUGGACCCCAUUGUACUACAAGCCAGCAGGGAGUCAGGGAGUCUGCUAAUCCCUGCUACAAACAGGAAACGGCAUGGAAGAGGAUUAUGAAGCAUUCAAACAUUGCUAACUAGUCAGAGAAAAUACAAUGUUAAGAAUCAAAUCUAGACAAAGUGCAUCAUUCAUCUAGUUAAAGAAAUUCCUUCUCCUCAAGACCCAGAAGAUUGUGAGCUACAUGUGAAGAGAAAUACUAUUUAGCAUCAAGUCUUGUUUCCACUGAAAUCACUGAUACUGAUGAGUGAUGUCUUUGGGGAAUAGAAAAACAGACUUGCUAAAGUUGUUUGUGUGUUGUUGCUGUUGCUUAAUUUCUUUAACUAUUAAAAGGACUUUCUUUAAAAAUAUAAAAAACCUUCCAAAAUGCCAUGUUUUCACUGUUGCUUCAUGAGUCAUACCAGAUAAUAAGCCACAGACUCAUGUAUACUUGGUUUUAAGCAUUGGCUAACAAGUUGAUACAACACAUCAUUUAUACAAUGAUCUGUUUAAUACACUACAGCUAUAAAAUACUUGUCAAUUAACAGACCUUAAUGACUGACCCAGAACACCUAUAUCCACAUCCUUCAGAUAUUUUUCACCAAAUUUUACACAAUUACAAAAAUAUACCAAAUUUUUAGUGAAAUCAUAUUGUAUACCCUUCACCCUUUUCUGUGGCCAGCCCUGUAACUAAAGAAAAACCCAAAACCGAAGACCAACCAGCCAAGAAAACUUGUUUUCAUCUACUCAGAAACAGGGAGAACUGUAAAGAGAGAAACAACCAGAUGUCUUGCUAAGUAAUGUCCAUUGUACAUCAAGCAAUUGUUUCAACCUUCUUACUCUACGAAAUAACACAACACACGCAUAAUAUUCUCACUCUACCUAGUUGUAUUCAGGAAAACGGUCUGGAAUAUAUAGGAUGAAUUUAUGCCCUGAAAUCAAUGGAAUUUUUCUUACAAGAUCUAAACAACUUUUAGUCCUUCAGAAAGGUAAACCAAAACAAAUUCAGAAAUAACCCACACAGGAUUUGUUCCCCUUGUUAUCAUAAUAUUUAUAGAUGAACACCGUCAGCAUACAUUAGACAAAUGAAUGUGAAUGCCAGAUCCCCUAUGCAAGCACAACUUUGCAGAACAGUUUAAAAGAAUUUUGAUGGAUAAGAUAAGCAUUUUAACAAGUGGAACUUAUCUUUUUACACAGUAGGAGGGGUAAACAAGGAUGGAUGGGAUGUAGCAUUUUCUGCAUUAUUUUUUAAAAAUUCCUUGCCUGUUUUAACAUUUGCACUCUCAUGGUCUGAACCUUUCUUGGGAUUUUGCAGCGCUAAAAGGCAUUUUAGAGAGCCUAUAGAGUAAAUUUUACAAGGUCAAUUAGAAGGGAAAGGGAAAUGUGUGUGAUUUUUCCAAUGUCAUUUCUAUGCAGGAGGUGAGCGCAGCUGUACAUUGCCAUUUUUUUUUCAGCACUUGACUUAUUGCUGUUCAUAUUUUCAAUGCAGUUGCAUGAGGAAAAGAAGUAGAAACUCUUAUUUACUCAUUUUUAAAGGCAAGACUCUCUGUUAAAAGGGCCCUCUAACUAGAGGGUUAGUCUCCUAGGCUCUAAAUAAGGUCUCCUCUAAAUAGAUGUUUACAUUGUAAAUUUCUGCUACUAAACCCAGUUGCCCAAGUUUUAUGGGCAACCUGAAAUCCAGAUGAAGUUUGCUGAAAAAGUGACAGACAAAGCUUGGAAAUGUCAAUAGAAUAUCAGAUUGCAGGAUAUCUGCAAGUGGCAGGAAUUCAGGUGCACACUCAUGGCAAAAAGUGCACGUGGCUUUUGGCAAGAUGUCUUUUGCUGGUGUGUAUUCUGAUCUUAUAAUACAGAAAACAGAAAGCAUUGCCUUGAACAGGAAUCAGACUUGCUGAACUAUUACCCAGAAAUUUUGUCUCAUCCAGUGGUGCUCAUUCAACUAAGAACAGGCCUCGUGCCAGGUCCUGUGGGAGACCAAGGACACAGAAAGUUGGCUUUGGGUCCAGCAGGCCAAUUUGUGACAAAUCAAAAUCAAAAUUGUGACCUCUGUUGGAGUGGAGAAUGAGAUAAAGUUGCUACCUUCCAGUUGUUCCUGUUUGUCCCUCAAAGCUCUUUGCAAACUGCUAGUUUUGACCACCUUACACUACUCAAAUAAUACAGUUUGAGGAAACUGCAAGCACACUGACUGCAGAUCUGAAAUGUGGGUUGCAUCUUGCAUGCAGUUUUAGAGGACAUCUGUCUCCAUGACAGAAGAAAGGAGGAAGGACUGCCCUUUUUCUUGCCCUUUUUCUAAGCUGCACUUCUGUGUAUGAAAGAGACAAAACAUCCUUUGAACUUUCAACCUAUAAAAGCAACUCUAGUGGCAAAUGACCCUGUCAUGGUCCCAGGCUGGGCGAAUGGUGAAACUAUAAAUAAAAGGACAUUGUGAGUGUAAAUGCAGUGAGUGGGAAAGAACACAGCAACAGCUGGAGCAGACACCUACAGUGACCUUCUGUUUGAAGAGCUCUAUAAACAAAAUGAGAUGGUCUUAAAAUGUAUAGUGAUGUUGUGGCCAUCUUUCUCGUGGGCAAUCAGAAGGGCAGCCAAAACUAGAGCAACAUAAAAAUGAGGAUCAAACAAGCCAUUUGGGCUUUCUCUGCAACUCCUUGUCUGUACAGAACUGUAUGGCUGCAACCAGCACUGUCAGCCAACAAACAAGUACUCCAGAUGGGUUUCCUCUGUCUCUUAUAAAAAUAAACCAAUAUAUUAAAAACCAAUAAAACUCUCAUGCUGACAAAUGAAUUACCCAGGGAUAGCUCUUCAGAAAAUUAUAGCAAUUCUGCAAAGGAGAGAGCCAAAAAACAAUUUUCAAUGUUUCUUAUGUCUCUCCCUCUCUGUGACAAAGAUUUAUGAUAGUCUUUGAAGAUACAAGCCAUUACAUCUCUGUUUAAAACUCCUAAGUGUCAUAGAGGUAAAAGGCCUAGCUUUUCAAACACCAGGACAGGUUAUUGUCUUUUGUCUUUUUUUAAAUUUUUUAAAAUUUUAUUUUAAAUAAUGGAGUAAAGACUAAUUUAAGGAAAAUUAAAAGUGGAACCAAGUUGGUUAGUUCAAUGUGUUAUAAGAUGUAUUGCUAAGACUUUUACAUCUAACUCCUUCUAACCUUAGGCCAGUUCGUAAUCUGCUGUCAGAUAGGAUAAUGUGCUGCUUUUUGAAAUUUACCAAAAAGCUAAUCAAUCAGAAUAAAUAAAUCAUGAAGUUGUUUAGGACAUAGAGCAUUCCAGAAUCAAUUCCUCCUAUUUAGAUAGUUUAGAGAGUUAUGAAGAUGUUCUGAAAAUCAACAUAGCAAAAUGAAUGCCCAAAUGGAACAAGAACUGAUCUUGAAAGGCCUUCUUGAAGUACUACAGCAAUACUUGAAUAUAAAGAGAGAAGCACUAAAUCUUAGACGGUGUUCAUAUUCAGUGGAAAUUUACAGAUAGGAGAGUAAAUUGAGAUUUAGUGUAUUUUGCAGAAGUGGCUUUUUUGGUUUGUUUGCUUGUUUGCUUAUUUGGCUUUAACAACAGUAUGGUACAGAUUUGCAAAGAGGAGCUAGCUCUGCCUGCACAGCUUGCUAAGGAAAUACAAGCAGAAGAAAUGAAACAGGACUGCAGUUAGUAGCAUUCCAUCAUUCCUAAUCCCCUGGUAUUCUGGUUUGAUCAAUGUUUCACAACUGCAGUACUAAAUGUGUUAAAUGAGCAGUAUACCUGUGCUAGUGAUUCUGUCUGCCCUCUGUAACAUCUGCUUUGGUAUUUUUAUCUCAUUAAAAA
ensembl:lncRNA